rnacentral:misc_RNA from 1 species
AUUGAAAUCCCAUACUUUCGAUGUAGGACACAAAUUUUUCUUGCAAUGGAUCAUAACAAAAAAGAAUGAUGUUCAAUCAAAUGCCCACUAUUUAAGGGCAGUGUAGAAAAACGCCUGUAUGAAUUCGUCGUCAAGUUUAGUAUUUGUUCUUUCAUUUACUUAAAGAAUGGUGGGAAAGAAUAAUUAAAGAAAAAAGAAGCAUAUUGAAUUAAAGGAUAGAAAAAAAAACUAAAA